rnacentral:rRNA from 1 species
GGGUUGUGAGGUUAAGCGACUAAGCGUACACGGUGGAUGCCCUGGCAGUCAGAGGCGAUGAAGGACGUGCUAAUCUGCGAUAAGCGUCGGUAAGGUGAUAUGAACCGUUAUAACCGGCGAUUUCCGAAUGGGGAAACCCAGUGUGAUUCGUCACACUAUCAUUACGUGAAUACAUAGCGUAAUGAAGCGAACCGGGGGAACUGAAACAUCUAAGUACCCCGAGGAAAAGAAAUCAACCGAGAUUCCCCCAGUAGCGGCGAGCGAACGGGGAGCAGCCCAGAGUCUGAAUCAGCUUGUGUGUUAGUGGAACGGUCUGGAAAGUCCGACGGUACAGGGUGAUAGUCCCGUACACCAAAAUGCACAGGUUGUGAACUCGAAGAGUAGGGCGGGACACGUGGUAUCCUGUCUGAAUAUGGGGGGACCAUCCUCCAAGGCUAAAUACUCCUGACUGACCGAUAGUGAACCAGUACCGUGAGGGAAAGGCGAAAAGAACCCCGGCGAGGGGAGUGAAAAAGAACCUGAAACCGUGUACGUACAAGCAGUGGGAGCAUCCUUUUGGGUGUGACUGCGUACCUUUUGUAUAAUGGGUCAGCGACUUAUAUUCUGUAGCAAGGUUAACCGUAUAGGGGAGCCGAAGGGAAACCGAGUCUUAACUGGGCGUUAAGUUGCAGGGUAUAGACCCGAAACCCGGUGAUCUAGCCAUGGGCAGGUUGAAGGUUGGGUAACACUAACUGGAGGACCGAACCGACUAAUGUUGAAAAAUUAGCGGAUGACUUGUGGCUGGGGGUGAAAGGCCAAUCAAACCGGGAGAUAGCUGGUUCUCCCCGAAAGCUAUUUAGGUAGCGCCUCGUGAACUCAUCUUCGGGGGUAGAGCACUGUUUCGGCUAGGGGGUCAUCCCGACUUACCAACCCGAUGCAAACUGCGAAUACCGAAGAAUGUUAUCACGGGAGACACACGGCGGGUGCUAACGUCCGUCGUGAAGAGGGAAACAACCCAGACCGCCAGCUAAGGUCCCAAAGUCAUGGUUAAGUGGGAAACGAUGUGGGAAGGCACAGACAGCCAGGAUGUUGGCUUAGAAGCAGCCAUCAUUUAAAGAAAGCGUAAUAGCUCACUGGUCGAGUCGGCCUGCGCGGAAGAUGUAACGGGGCUAAACCAUGCACCGAAGCUGCGGCAGCGACACUAUGUGUUGUUGGGUAGGGGAGCGUUCUGUAAGCCGUUGAAGGUGUAUCGUGAGGUAUGCUGGAGGUAUCAGAAGUGCGAAUGCUGACAUAAGUAACGAUAAUGCGGGUGAAAAACCCGCACGCCGGAAGACCAAGGGUUCCUGUCCAACGUUAAUCGGGGCAGGGUGAGUCGACCCCUAAGGCGAGGCCGAAAGGCGUAGUCGAUGGGAAACAGGUUAAUAUUCCUGUACUUGGUGUUACUGCGAAGGGGGGACGGAGAAGGCUAUGUUAGCCGGGCGACGGUUGUCCCGGUUUAAGCAUGUAGGCGGAGGUUCCAGGUAAAUCCGGUACCUUUUUAACGCUGAGGUGUGAUGACGAGGCACUACGGUGCUGAAGUAACAAAUGCCCUGCUUCCAGGAAAAGCCUCUAAGCAUCAGGUAACACGAAAUCGUACCCCAAACCGACACAGGUGGUCAGGUAGAGAAUACCAAGGCGCUUGAGAGAACUCGGGUGAAGGAACUAGGCAAAAUGGUGCCGUAACUUCGGGAGAAGGCACGCUGAUAUGUAGGUGAAGUGAUUUACUCAUGGAGCUGAAAUCAGUCGAAGAUACCAGCUGGCUGCAACUGUUUAUUAAAAACACAGCACUGUGCAAACACGAAAGUGGACGUAUACGGUGUGACGCCUGCCCGGUGCCGGAAGGUUAAUUGAUGGGGUUAUCCGUAAGGAGAAGCUCUUGAUCGAAGCCCCGGUAAACGGCGGCCGUAACUAUAACGGUCCUAAGGUAGCGAAAUUCCUUGUCGGGUAAGUUCCGACCUGCACGAAUGGCGUAAUGAUGGCCAGGCUGUCUCCACCCGAGACUCAGUGAAAUUGAACUCGCUGUGAAGAUGCAGUGUACCCGCGGCAAGACGGAAAGACCCCGUGAACCUUUACUAUAGCUUGACACUGAACACUGGUCCUUGAUGUGUAGGAUAGGUGGGAGGCUUUGAAGUGUGGACGCCAGUCUGCAUGGAGCCAUCCUUGAAAUACCACCCUUUAAUGGCUGGUGUUCUAACGUGGACCCGUAAUCCGGGUUGCGGACAGUGUCUGGUGGGUAGUUUGACUGGGGCGGUCUCCUCCUAAAGAGUAACGGAGGAGCACGAAGGUUAGCUAAUCCUGGUCGGACAUCAGGAGGUUAGUGCAAAGGCAUAAGCUAGCUUGACUGCGAGAGUGACGGCUCGAGCAGGUGCGAAAGCAGGUCUUAGUGAUCCGGUGGUUCUGAAUGGAAGGGCCAUCGCUCAACGGAUAAAAGGUACUCCGGGGAUAACAGGCUGAUACCGCCCAAGAGUUCAUAUCGACGGCGGUGUUUGGCACCUCGAUGUCGGCUCAUCACAUCCUGGGGCUGAAGUAGGUCCCAAGGGUAUGGCUGUUCGCCAUUUAAAGUGGUACGCGAGCUGGGUUUAGAACGUCGUGAGACAGUUCGGUCCCUAUCUGCCGUGGGCGCUGGAGAAUUGAGGGGGGCUGCUCCUAGUACGAGAGGACCGGAGUGGACGCAUCACUGGUGUUCGGGUUGUCAUGCCAAUGGCAUUGCCCGGUAGCUAAAUGCGGAAGAGAUAAGUGCUGAAAGCAUCUAAGCACGAAACUUGCCCCGAGAUGAGUUCUCCCUGAGACUAUAAGUCUCCUGAAGGAACGUUAAAGACGAUGACGUUGAUAGGUCGGGUGUGUAAGUGUAGCGAUACAUUGAGCUAACCGAUACUAAUGAACCGUGAGGCUUAACCUUACAACGCCGAAG